rnacentral:rRNA from 1 species
GACGAACGCUGGCGGCGUGCUUAACACAUGCAAGUCGAACGAUGAACCCGGAGCUUGCUCUGGGGGAUUAGUGGCGAACGGGUGAGUAACACGUGAGUAACCUGCCCUGGACUCUGGGAUAAGCGUUGGAAACGACGUCUAAUACCGGAUAGGAGCUUGGAUCGCAUGAUCUGGGGUGGAAAGUUUCUUCGGUCUGGGAUGGACUCGCGGCCUAUCAGCUUGUUGGUGAGGUAAUGGCUCACCAAGGCUUCGACGGGUAGCCGGCCUGAGAGGGUGACCGGCCAGACUGAGAGGGACACACGGACGAGACAGCCUCGGACGGCAGGCAUCGGGAGGAUUGCUUAAUGAGCGAACGCCUGCCGGAGCAAGGACGCGUGCGGGCUGAAGGCCUUCGGGUUGUAAGCAGCCUUCAGUAGGCAAGAAGGGAGUCGGCUUGACGGUACUUGCAGAAAAAGGACCGGCUAACUACGUG